AUUGAACGCUGGCGGCAGGCCUAACACAUGCAAGUCGAGCGCGCGGCGGACGGGUGAGUAAUGUCUGGGAAACUGCCUGCUGGAGGGGGAUAACUCCUGGAAACGGUAGCUAAUACCGCAUACCCUCUGAUGUGCCCCGAUGGGGUUAGCUGGUAGGGGGGGUAACGGCUCACCCAGGCGACGCUCCCUAGCUGGUCUGAGAGGAUGACCAGCCACACUGGAACUGAGACACGGUCCAGACGCCUACGGGAGGCAGCAGUGGGGAAUAUUGCACAAUGGGCGCAAGCCUGAUGCAGCCAUGCCGCGUGUGUGAAGAAGGCCUUCGGGUUGUAAAGUACUUUCAGCGGGGAGGCGUUACCCGCAGAAGAAGCACCGGCUAACUCCGUGCCAGCAGCCGCGGUAAUUC
rnacentral:rRNA from 1 species